AUUGAACGCUGGCGGCAUGCUUUACACAUGCAAGUCGAACGGUAACAGGCCUUCGGGUGCUGACGAGUGGCGAACGGGUGAGUAAUGCAUCGGAACGUGCCCAGCGGUGGGGGAUAACGCAGCGACAGCUGUGCUAAUACCACAUGUGAUCUGAGGAUGAAAGCGGGGGACCAGGCAGCAAUGUUUGGCCUCGCGCCUUUGGAGCGGCCGAUGUCAGAUUAGGUAGUUGGUGGGGUAAAGGCCUACCAAGCCGGCGAUCUGUAGCUGGUCUGAGAGGACGGCCAGCCACACUGGGACUGAGACACGGCCCAGACUCCUACGGGAGGCAGCAGUGGGGAAUUUUGGACAAUGGGCGCAAGCCUGAUCCAGCAAGGCCGCGUGCGGGAAGAAGGCCUUCGGGUUGUAAACCGCUUUUGUACGGAACGAAAAGGCUCUGGCUAAUACCUGGGGCUGAUGACGGUACCGGAAGAAUAAGCACCGGCUAACUACGUG
rnacentral:rRNA from 1 species